GGGUUGUGAGGUUAAGCGACUAAGCGUACACGGUGGAUGCCCUGGCAGUCAGAGGCGAUGAAGGACGUGCUAAUCUGCGAUAAGCGUCGGUAAGGUGAUAUGAACCGUUAUAACCGGCGAUUUCCGAAUGGGGAAACCCAGUGUGAUUCGUCACACUAUCAUUAACUGAAUCCAUAGGUUAAUGAGGCGAACCGGGGGAACUGAAACAUCUAAGUACCCCGAGGAAAAGAAAUCAACCGAGAUUCCCCCAGUAGCGGCGAGCGAACGGGGAGCAGCCCAGAGCCUGAAUCAGUGUGUGUGUUAGUGGAAGCGUCUGGAAAGGCGUGCGAUACAGGGUGACAGCCCCGUACACAAAAAUGCACAUGCUGUGAGCUCGAUGAGUAGGGCGGGACACGUGGUAUCCUGUCUGAAUAUGGGGGGACCAUCCUCCAAGGCUAAAUACUCCUGACUGACCGAUAGUGAACCAGUACCGUGAGGGAAAGGCGAAAAGAACCCCGGCGAGGGGAGUGAAAAAGAACCUGAAACCGUGUACGUACAAGCAGUGGGAGCACAGAGCAAUCUGUGUGACUGCGUACCUUUUGUAUAAUGGGUCAGCGACUUAUAUUCUGUAGCAAGGUUAACCGAAUAGGGGAGCCGAAGGGAAACCGAGUCUUAACUGGGCGUUAAGUUGCAGGGUAUAGACCCGAAACCCGGUGAUCUAGCCAUGGGCAGGUUGAAGGUUGGGUAACACUAACUGGAGGACCGAACCGACUAAUGUUGAAAAAUUAGCGGAUGACUUGUGGCUGGGGGUGAAAGGCCAAUCAAACCGGGAGAUAGCUGGUUCUCCCCGAAAGCUAUUUAGGUAGCGCCUCGUGAAUUCAUCUCCGGGGGUAGAGCACUGUUUCGGCAAGGGGGUCAUCCCGACUUACCAACCCGAUGCAAACUGCGAAUACCGGAGAAUGUUAUCACGGGAGACACACGGCGGGUGCUAACGUCCGUCGUGAAGAGGGAAACAACCCAGACCGCCAGCUAAGGUCCCAAAGUCAUGGUUAAGUGGGAAACGAUGUGGGAAGGCCCAGACAGCCAGGAUGUUGGCUUAGAAGCAGCCAUCAUUUAAAGAAAGCGUAAUAGCUCACUGGUCGAGUCGGCCUGCGCGGAAGAUGUAACGGGGCUAAACCAUGCACCGAAGCUGCGGCAGCGACGCUUAUGCGUUGUUGGGUAGGGGAGCGUUCUGUAAGCCUGUGAAGGUGUACUGUGAGGUAUGCUGGAGGUAUCAGAAGUGCGAAUGCUGACAUAAGUAACGAUAAAGCGGGUGAAAAGCCCGCUCGCCGGAAGACCAAGGGUUCCUGUCCAACGUUAAUCGGGGCAGGGUGAGUCGACCCCUAAGGCGAGGCCGAAAGGCGUAGUCGAUGGGAAACAGGUUAAUAUUCCUGUACUUGGUGUUACUGCGAAGGGGGGACGGAGAAGGCUAUGUUGGCCGGGCGACGGUUGUCCCGGUUUAAGCGUGUAGGCUGGUUUUCCAGGCAAAUCCGGAAAAUCAAGGCUGAGGCGUGAUGACGAGGCACUACGGUGCUGAAGCAACAAAUGCCCUGCUUCCAGGAAAAGCCUCUAAGCAUCAGGUAACAUCAAAUCGUACCCCAAACCGACACAGGUGGUCAGGUAGAGAAUACCAAGGCGCUUGAGAGAACUCGGGUGAAGGAACUAGGCAAAAUGGUGCCGUAACUUCGGGAGAAGGCACGCUGAUAUGUAGGUGAAGUCCCUCGCGGAUGGAGCUGAAAUCAGUCGAAGAUACCAGCUGGCUGCAACUGUUUAUUAAAAACACAGCACUGUGCAAACACGAAAGUGGACGUAUACGGUGUGACGCCUGCCCGGUGCCGGAAGGUUAAUUGAUGGGGUUAGCGCAAGCGAAGCUCUUGAUCGAAGCCCCGGUAAACGGCGGCCGUAACUAUAACGGUCCUAAGGUAGCGAAAUUCCUUGUCGGGUAAGUUCCGACCUGCACGAAUGGCGUAAUGAUGGCCAGGCUGUCUCCACCCGAGACUCAGUGAAAUUGAACUCGCUGUGAAGAUGCAGUGUACCCGCGGCAAGACGGAAAGACCCCGUGAACCUUUACUAUAGCUUGACACUGAACAUUGAGCCUUGAUGUGUAGGAUAGGUGGGAGGCUUUGAAGUGUGGACGCCAGUCUGCAUGGAGCCGACCUUGAAAUACCACCCUUUAAUGUUUGAUGUUCUAACGUUGACCCGUGAUCCGGGUUGCGGACAGUGUCUGGUGGGUAGUUUGACUGGGGCGGUCUCCUCCUAAAGAGUAACGGAGGAGCACGAAGGUUGGCUAAUCCUGGUCGGACAUCAGGAGGUUAGUGCAAUGGCAUAAGCCAGCUUGACUGCGAGCGUGACGGCGCGAGCAGGUGCGAAAGCAGGUCAUAGUGAUCCGGUGGUUCUGAAUGGAAGGGCCAUCGCUCAACGGAUAAAAGGUACUCCGGGGAUAACAGGCUGAUACCGCCCAAGAGUUCAUAUCGACGGCGGUGUUUGGCACCUCGAUGUCGGCUCAUCACAUCCUGGGGCUGAAGUAGGUCCCAAGGGUAUGGCUGUUCGCCAUUUAAAGUGGUACGCGAGCUGGGUUUAGAACGUCGUGAGACAGUUCGGUCCCUAUCUGCCGUGGGCGCUGGAGAACUGAGGGGGGCUGCUCCUAGUACGAGAGGACCGGAGUGGACGCAUCACUGGUGUUCGGGUUGUCAUGCCAAUGGCACUGCCCGGUAGCUAAAUGCGGAAGAGAUAAGUGCUGAAAGCAUCUAAGCACGAAACUUGCCCCGAGAUGAGUUCUCCCUGACUCCUUGAGAGUCCUGAAGGAACGUUGAAGACGACGACGUUGAUAGGCCGGGUGUGUAAGCGCAGCGAUGCGUUGAGCUAACCGGUACUAAUGAACCGUGAGGCUUAACCUUACAACGCCGAAGGUGUUU
rnacentral:rRNA from 1 species